rnacentral:lncRNA from 1 species
AGUGAGCGAACUGUGACAGAGACUCAUUUUUUUACAAGUGGUGCUCGCUGCAGAGCCAUUUGGGCAGAGCUGAGCUCCAGCAAGGGGGAGCUUGAGCUCUCGCUCCUCCUUUCUUGCACUUCUUCUACGAGUGAUGUCACUGGGGGUAGGUUUAGGGGUGGGGUUGGUGUACGCAUUAAAACAGCUUAUAGGAGGAUGAGCGAGAGCUCAUGCUCCCCCUCGCUGGAGCUCAGCUCUGCUCAAAUGGCUCAGCAGCGAGCACCGUCUCUCUUUUUAAGGUCUCUGCUGGUGUUACCUGGAUUGCGAAUGACAUCUGGUACAUAGUUACGCAUGAAAUCAUACGAGAUUGUCUUGUGCUGCCUGCUGAGAUGGAGUUUUCAGUGAUGGAGAGACGUCCAGAGGAGUUGCUGGAUUCCUGUGGACAAAAGCACAAAAUUAGACGAGACGUGUACAGCACGGACAGAGGAAUCCUCUGAUGGCUCUGCCAGGCUUUUCUUCUCUUCUCGGAUGUCCUGAGACAAUCGUACAGCUGUCUGAUGCUCUCCCCGCUCAGUAAGGAAGCGCCACACAUCCAUCAUGCUCAGAGGGCGCCAGCACCGUUCCAACUCUCGCUCAACACUCUUUCUGCGCCUGGAAGAAGGCCAGACGUUUCUCAAUCCUGAACGGGAUCCUCUCAGCACUGCAAACAUCUCCAGUUUUUUUUUUUUUUUUUUUGUAUGGGUUUAUGCAUGCUAAUGUGCGGCACAGCUAUCUAAUCUACUCUGGGGUGUUAUGUUUGUCUACAGAACUUGUUUAUCUAGCAGAAGCAUUUGGGAGGAAGUAGAACAAAGGAUGGAGCGAGCAGAUGUGUUGCAUGGUUUGCAUCACCCCACAAAUCAUCUUCUGGCAUGAUAUAAAAAGAGAGAUUCAGCUGUAUGUACCUGACAUACUGUACCAGCCUUGUUCCAGAACCAAGCUAUGGUUCUCACUGCCUACAUAGAUUCAUAUUCAAUUCAUGUUUUUUUUUUUCAGCUUAACAUAGAAGUUCUUGUGAAUUGAAACUGCUUCAGUCUAGUUUUCAGAGAUGAAGUUCAGUUUAGUGUGAUUUAAAAUACUGAAAAGUCCAAAUACUGAAGAGCAAAUCCAUCGAUGCGCAGCUCCACAAGUCCCAAAACAAGUGUGGCGCUCGAGGGGUUUAUUAGUUUUAGCUUAGGUAGGUUGCAUUCACUCCCUUACACAAAACACCAACUACGCCAGAUUGUGGCGCAGGGGCUCGAGAACAGCAAGGAGGGAGCAAACACACAAAAGGUUUCAAUAAAGAAUUUGUAGCGACUACACCACCCCAACUUAAUGGGGAAUAAAGUCCGAAUAAGGACACAGGUUCGUUCCCUUUAAAAUGAGUGAGAAACAAAAUUUAUUCUGCUUAAGCAAUAGAGUUUACACUUGCAUAAAAUCACAAUUAAAAGCACAUUUCCUCAAUAUGGAGCAACAGUAAUCAAAUAAUAAUAAUAAUGAUAAUAAUGAUAAACACAAACACUAAACCCAGGAGCUGGGCUCUCACCAGGACAAGUGAACACCAAAGAAUAAAUCCACAGCACUCUAUAGACACCACAGUGUACUUCACCCACUCAGCAUCACACCACUCAAAGAAGUUCAGUUCAGUUCACUAAAAGGCCCUUCCACCCGUGAGGUCCAGGCUCCUGGAAAACACAAAAGGUGCAAAUAUACAAACACUAUACUCAAAUCAAUUAUAAAAAUUACUGUUGCUCACAGAAAUAAACACGUCAGACUUCCUAGUUUUACAAUAAAACAUUAAACUUAAAACAUUAAACUAAUAUCACAACUGAGGAAAAUCAAAACCAAUACAACCAAGAUGAAAUACUAAAAUAACAAAAUGUGUGGUGUGGCUAAAACUUAUAGCAGCAAUACUAACAACACCAUGAAAUCAACAUCCAAAAACAUAAAUGAAAGGAACUCAAAUUUCACGCAAAACGAAAGUGAAACAUAAAAACUGAACCAAACUGAACACAACCUGCCCCCCUCUACUUGAGGCGAUAUCCACGACAGUUUGUUCGAUGUGAUGGCAGAGCUCCUGAUCGCUACUGGAAUGGCUCGAAUAUUAAAACGGAUGCCUGGUGCAGGAUGCACCCAUAUAAUUUGAUAGAAAGGCAAUAGUAACGCAACGUUAUUCGCAAUGGAGAAGGAGGAUCUGUAUGAAACAAACAGCGUUAGCCACUAUCGUCAGAAAGUGCUUAAAAUGCACAUGACUUAAAAAGGCAAGAACUCACCACAGGUAUAACAGUCAGAAGCAGCAGUCUUUUAACCAACGUAUGAUCAUUAAAACAUGAGGCAGGAAACACUAGAGCGACAGAGAACUAAUAAUUACAAAGAAUCACCCAGGAAACGCCUCCCCAGUUAAUUCAAGCCACUGCGUGUGAUGUAAACAUACCUGUGCACAGCUUACAGCGUACUCAUACAGCUUCACUCAUGCAGUCUAUGUAACAACCCUAAAUUUAACACGACCAUUAGUAUUACACUAAGGUUCAGGUUAACAGCGGCCAAAAAGCCAACGCACUUACUUGCAAACACUACCAACCAGAGACCCAAAACCAGGAAGUGAUGCAAAAGACCUGAAGUCAGACGUGACCUGCUGUGAGGCUGAACUUCCCAGUUUAUAUAGCAGGGUGCCACCUGCUGAUAGGUGGGUGAAACUGUCAGUCACCACACCCAUUCUAUCACACAAGCAAGCCAGUGGUGACAGUGGCGAGAAACAAACUUCCCCAAUUGAUGAAAGUGAAGGAAGAAACCUUAAGAGAAACCAAGCUCGGUUGGACACGACCAUUUCUCCUCUGGCCUAGCUUCUUGUGCAGAGCUGCAGUCUAAGCACCGUAGGCUAGAGAACGCUAGACGUCACCCACAGGAUCCGCAGUCUCCUGCUCUCCACUACUCCAUGACCGCCACAGCAUCUGCUCAGGAUACAGCCUGGUCCAGGAUUAUGGAUAAUAUCGUAAAAUAUUUAUUUUAAAUCAGCUUUAUCAAUUAUCAAGACACCUCACUCAUUACAGUUUUAUAACGAUCUACAUACAGUAAGAACUAACUAUAAAUGACUGCAAUGUUUCACAGCUGAAUGUGCACACAAGUCUAUUUGCUCGGCAGUGAACAAGAGAUAACUGUGAUUGCAUAUUACCAUUGGAUACUCCCAAUACGAAUUAUGUUUUACAAUAGACCAAUAUACAUCCUUCUAUCGGACUUCUGGAUAGGUAGCAACCAGAGGAUUGCCUUUAGUGGGGAACUCUUUUUAAGUAGAUGCUGUUCUUAAAAACAAACUGCAUAUUUGCAAUCUUAACAGCUACAAUCUUCCCUGAAAAAUUCUCAAAUAUACAUUAUGUGGUUCAAAAGCUGCAGUUUUUCUCAAACUGUUUUGUGUAGCCUUCUGCUUGCCACUCGUUGAGGGCGGAGUGAUACACACAGCUAAAGAGGCUGGACUAGUGCUGAUACUACUAAAAUAUAGCAUGGCUAUCCACCAAUCAGCUUCAAGUACCAGAAAGAAUUGUUGUGUUCACACUAAAUAUAUUGUCAAAUAAUACAAUUAAACAAAAACAAUACAAAAGAAAGAAACUGACAAAAAGCUAUAAAAGAAAAUGGUUUAGAAUCUUUAAUUAAAAAGUAAUAAUAUAUGAAAUUCAAUUAUAUUAAAGUAUUUAUUAUAAUAAAUUAUGGACCAUUUUGAGGGAUGUAAACAAUAACAAUGCUUCUAAUGUAUUUCCUGUUUUUUUUUUUUGUUUGUUUUUUUAAUUUCCAUAGCUUCCAAGAAUCCAAAAAGGCCCACAUAUUGACAAAUAAUGUAAAGUAAUGUAAUGCAAUGUGUAUUUAUAUUGCGCAUUUAUUAUGUAUGGCCAUACACCCAAAGCGCUUCACAAUCAUAAGGGAGGGCUGUUCACACCACCACCAGUGUGUAGCAUCUACUUGGAUGAUGCGACGGCAGCCACAGGACAACGGCGCCAGUGCGCUCACCACGCACCAGCUAUUGGUGGAGUGAGGAGACAGUGAUAGAGCCAAUACAGUGGAUGGGAAUGAUUGGGAGGCCAUGAUCAUAAGGGGUGAUUGAGGGACUUUGACCAGGACACCGGGUUUACACCCUAACUCUUUAAGAGAAGUGCCAUGGGAUUUUUAGUGACCACAGGAAGUCAGGACUUUGGUUUAACGUCCCAUCCAAACGCCCACUGACAGUGUAGUAUAUAUAUAUAUAUAUAUAUAUAUAUAUAUAUAUAUAUAUAUAUAUAUAUAUAUAUAUAUAUAUAUAUAUAUAUAUAGUUUAGGUUAUACUUAUAAACCCUUUAUUCUGACACAGUUUUUGAUUAACAGGUUUAGAUUUCC